CCUACGUGAGGCUGCAGUGGGGAAUAUUGGGCAAUGGGCGCAAGCCUGACCCAGCAACGCCGCGUGAAGGAAGAAGGCUUUCGGGUUGUAAACUUCUUUUCUGAGGGACGAAGACAGUGACGGUACCUCCGGAAUAAGCCACGGCUAACUACGUGCCAGCCGCCGCGGUAAUACGUGGGUGGCAAGCGUUAUCCGGAUUUAUUGGGUGUAAAGGGCGUGUAGGCGGGAAAGCAAGUCAGAUGUGAAAACUCAGGGCUCAACCCUGAGCCUGCAUUGGAAACUGUUUUUCUUGAGUGCUGGAGAGGCAAUCGGAAGUCCGUGGGUAGCGGUGAAAUGCGUAGAUAUACGGAGGAACACCAGUGGCGAAGGCGGAUUGCUGGACAUUAACUGACGCUGAGGCGCGAAAGCGUGGGGAGCAAACAGGAUUAGAUACCCUUGUAGUC
rnacentral:rRNA from 1 species